rnacentral:rRNA from 1 species
AUUGAACGCUGGCGGCAGGCCUAACACAUGCAAGUCGAGCGGAUGAAGGGAGCUUGCUCCUGGAUUCAGCGGCGGACGGGUGAGUAAUGCCUAGGAAUCUGCCUUGUAGUUGGGGAUAACGUCCGGAAACGGGCGCUAAUACCCCAUACGGCCUGAGGUAGAAAGUGGGGGUUCUUCGGACCUCUCGCUAUUAGAUGAGCCUAGGUCGUAUUAGCUAGUUGGUGUGGUAAAGGCGUACCAAGGCGACGAUCCGUAACUGGUCUGAGAGGAUGAUCAGUCACACUGGAACUGAGACACGGUCCAGACUCCUACGGGAGGCAGCAGUGGGGAAUAUUGGGCAAUGGGCGAAAGCCUGAUCCAGCCAUGCCGCGUGUGUGAAGAAGGUCUUCGGAUUGUAAAGCACUUUAAGUUGGGAGGAAGAGCAGUAAGUUAAUACCUUGCUGUUUUGACGGUACCUACAGAAUAAGCACCGGCUAACUUCGUG